rnacentral:rRNA from 1 species
GACGAACGCUGGCGGCGUGCUUAACACAUGCAAGUCGAACGAUGAAGCUGGAGCUUGCUCCGGUGGAUUAGUGGCGAACGGGUGAGUAACACGUGAGAAAUCUGCCCUUGACUCUGGGAUAACUGCGGGAAACUGUAGCUAAUACCGGAUAUUUUCCUUGGUGGGCAUCUACUGGGGAAGAAAGAAUUUCGGUUAAGGAUGAUUGUGCGGCCUAUCAGCUAGUUGGUGAGGUAAUGGCUCACCAAGGCGACGACGGGUAGCCGGCCUGAGAGGGUGACCGGCCACACUGGGACUGAGACACGGCCCAGACUCCUACGGGAGGCAGCAGUGGGGAAUAUUGCACAAUGGGCGCAAGCCUGAUGCAGCAACGCCGCGUGAGGGAUGAAGGCCUUCGGGUUGUAAACCUCUUUUAGCAGGGAAGAAGCGAAAGUGACGGUACCUGCAGAAAAAGCACCGGCUAACUACGUGCCAGCCGCCGCGGUAA